ensembl:lncRNA PRSS40A serine protease 40A (pseudogene)
CCAGGGCCGGCGGGGGCACUGCGCACUGGCCGCCUCCCUCCUCUGGCCAAUCCUCCUGCCGCUGCGCGUCUAGUCCACCUCGUCCCUCUCUGCAGGUCCACUAACCCAUCUGAUUACCGGAUCCUGCUUGGGUAUGACCAGCAAAGCCAUCCCACAGAGCACAGCAAGCAGAUGACAGUGAAUAAGAUCAUGGUGCACGCUGACUAUAACGAGUUGCACCGCAUGGGGAGUGACAUCACCCUGCUGCAGCUGCACCGUCAUGUGGAAUUCAGCUCCCACAUCCUCCCCGCCUGCCUUCCGGAACCAACCACGUGGCUGGCCCCUGACAGCUCCUGCUGGAUAUCUGGUUGGGGAAUGGUCACCGAGGAUGUCUUCCUGCCUGAGCCCUUCCAACUUCAGGAGGCAGAGGUCGGUGUCAUGGACAACACUGUCUGCGGAUCCUUUUUCCAGCCCCAGUACCCCGGCCAGCCAAGCAGCAGUGACUACACCAUCCACGAGGACAUGCUGUGCGCUGGGGACCUCAUAACAGGAAAGGCCAUUUGCCGAGUGAGUGGGCUCACUCUCUCUCCCCUGUGCUGCCCUGGGCCUCUGCCACAGGGUCUCCUCUGGACCCUGCCCCAGCCCCGACUUCUUCCUGAGCCCAGCCAAGCCUGAGGUGUCGGAGCCAGGACAGAAACUCCCAACAAGCACUGGCCCAUCUGUUUUUUUUGUAUCUUUUAAGAAACGUUGUUGGUAGGGUACAGUGGCUCACGUCUGUAAUCCCAGCGCUUUGGGAGGUCGAGGCGGGUGGAUCACCUGAGGUCAGGAGUUUGAGACCAGCCUGACCAACAUGGUGAAACCCCAUCUCUACUAAAAAUACAAAAAUCAGCCGGGCAUGGUGGCACGUGCCUAUAAUCCCAGCUACUUGGGAGGCUGAGGCAGGAGAAUCGCUUGAACCCGGGAGGCGGCAGUUGCAGUGAGCUGAGAUCAUGCCACCGCACUCCAGCCUGGGUGACAGAGUGAGACUCCGUCUCAAAAAAAAAAAAAAAAAAAGAAAAAA